GUGGCCUACGGGGCGCAGCAGUGGGGGAUAUUGCACAAUGGAGGAAACUCUGAUGCAGCGACGCCGCGUGAGGGAUGACGGCCCUACGGGUUGUAAACCUCUUUUGCCGGGGAGCAACGGGCGCCACGUGUGGCGCCACUGAGAGUACCCGGAGAAAAAGCAUCGGCUAACUCCGUGCCAGCAGCCGCGGUAAUACGGAGGAUGCGAGCGUUAUCCGGAUUUAUUGGGUUUAAAGGGUGCGUAGGCGGAUCGUUAAGUCAGUGGUCAAAUUGAGGGGCUCAACCCCUUCCCGCC
rnacentral:rRNA from 1 species